CCAACCCUGUGCUCUUGUCUGCUGAAAUAAGGAAAGCGGAAGCUGUUGACAGAUGUUCAAAAAAAUGCCAUUUGACGUAUUGGAGAUGGCACGUCGAUAAAUUUCUGGAGGCACAACUGGAUCCCUACCAUUGGCCGUUUAGAUCAGCACCAACUUCAGGUAAAGAAUAUGGAUGAAUCUGGAAACUCGCUAAUGGAUUUUCUUGCUGUUUCAGGGUCCUGGAUGUGGCGAAGCUCAAAGAAUGGAUCCCCGAACCGGAGGUGCGUAGGAUCACGUCCUUAUCCUCACCGUUGCCUUGGAAGGCAGAUGAUGUUUAUGCUUGGGCUUUGUCCCCCCGACGGCACUUUCAACCUGAAAUCAAUUUAACAAGCCAUCCCUGAAGACGUCGGAACUAAGGAUCGUAUUUUUUCUUUGAUUUGGAAGUGGAAUGGCCCAGAAAGAACAAGAUUUUUUCUUUGACUGGUGGCUCAUGAAGCAAUACUCACCAAUGCAGAAAGGAAUAGAAGGCACCUAACUCCGUCUCCCUGCUGCCCGCGGUGCAGCCACAACAAGGAAACCGUGCUUCACAUGCUGCGUGACUGCCCUUUUGCUGUUGCUGUUUGGAGGAAUUUGCAACCUAUCCCGGAAGUGAGAAACUUCUUCAGAUCAAGCAAGAGAGAUUGAAUGAUAAACAACCUCUUGAGCCCCCACGACAGGUCGGUGUUCUUUGGUGUAGCUCUCUCCUCUCUUUGGUUCUUUAGAAACAAGUUAAUCUUUGAAGGGGAGAACACCGACCCUGCAGCAGUCUCAAUGUCUAUUAGAACAAGAGGUAUUAAAAUCCUUAGUACUCCUUUGAAGAAGGUUAUUCAUAACACCGGCAACAAUUCUAUGGGACUCCUUGUCAAGUGGCAUCCUCCACAUGAGAAUUUUAUCAAGGUCAACGUUGACGGAUC